rnacentral:lncRNA from 1 species
AUAUGAUACUAUAGUAGCUGACCUUCUGCUCAGAUUAUAUCAAUGGAACAUCGGUCCUAGCUGACCUCUCUCUAAGCUAGUAAGACUUCAAGUCAGUUAUUUUACAGCUUGGCUACAGCUAUGUUAUAGUUAUUCUCCACAUAAGACAACUUACAACCUCUCUAUAGCUGGUUAUUCUAUUAUAACAAACUCAUAACAAACUAGAUGAAUUAUUCAUAAUGGCCUAACAAACUUUUUCAAUGACCAAA